GAUCCUGGCUCAGGAUGAACGCUGGCGGCGUGCUUAACACAUGCAAGUCGAACGAAGCACUUUAUUUGAUUUCCUUCGGGGACUGAUUAUUUUGUGACUGAGUGGCGGACGGGUGAGUAACGCGUGGGUAACCUGCCUUGUACAGGGGGGAUAACAGUUGGAAACGGCUGCUAAUACCGCAUAAGCGCACAGCAUCGCAUGAUGCAGUGUGAAAAACUCCGGUGGUAUAAGAUGGACCCGCG
rnacentral:rRNA from 1 species